AAUUUAAAUUAAAAACCAUCAGCUGGUUUCAAAUGUUUUAUUAAAAAACAAAAACGUAAGAUUAUUGUUUAUAUUGUAAAUACUACAAUACAGCUGAAUAAUAUAAAUUUUCCGAGACCAUAAAAAAAACACGACGAUGCGAUAAAACUAAGUUAGUCAAAUCUUCAAGACAACACUAUCAUUCGAAGUUUAUGAUCGUUAACCAGCUGCACCAGUCAUUCACCGGUCUUUCCGCUCUCCACAAACGCGUAUCAAUCGAUGUCUUCUCGUGCCGACAUAGCACGGGUGGUACACCGGCCCGACUUCAUCAUCAUCUAGCGUUAUCUUAACACACUGUAAUAUAUUAUAAUGUAAUAAUAUACACUAUAUUUUACGGAA